rnacentral:rRNA from 1 species
UACGUAGGGGGCAAGCGUUGUCCGGAAUCAUUGGGCGUAAAGCGCGCGUAGGCGGCUCUGUAAGUCCGUUGUGAAAGUCAAAGGCUCAACCUUUGAAAGCCGAUGGAUACUGCAGGGCUAGAGUCCGGAAGAGGCGAGUGGAAUUCCUGGUGUAGCGGUGGAAUGCGCAGAUAUCAGGAGGAACACCAAUAGCGAAGGCAGCUCGCUGGGACGGUACUGACGCUGAGGUGCGAAAGCGUGGGGAGCAAACAGG